UGUAUUAUCAUAAAUGUAAGUUAAAAUUAAGCCUUUUGGGCAUUUCAGGAUCCUGAAUGAAGAGCAAAGGUUUUCUUCAUACUUUCAUGAAUGUCAAAAGCUGCACAGAGGAAUCAGAAUAAAGGUGCGGCGGCUGUCGUCGGUGAUGGAUUCCGGUACUUACCCGCUGUGCAUCCUGGGGAAACGCAGAACUUCUCCUAAGUUAUUCACAUAGUAACUGGGGCCUCUUGCAUUUUUAUGGACUAUUAAAGUGGAGCCUACCUGA